GUGAAAUUUCGGGGUUCAUGAAGUACUAGAUUAAAAAACUAUAAUACCUCAUUUUAAUCAUACCUUGCUCUCUAAAAUCGAGUACUCCGCCAAUGUUGCUAUGAGCAACAAUCUAGUGUUUACACAAAUGUAAACACGAAAAAUUCAGAAUCUGGAAACAUAAAGAAUUAUUAGAGAAUUGGUUCAUCUUGGUCAAAUGAUGAUCCUCUGGGUCCUUUUCGAUUAAAUAACUAUCACCAAAGAGAAUCGAAAGGCUGCACCAACUGUAGUUUUCAUUACUAUAUACUUUCUGCUGGCCCGGUUCCGUACUCGAUUCAACGUCGCUGCUCCAUGGUCGAAGAAGUUACAAUGCUACGUUAACGAGUCCUCGUCGUCGUCGAUUAUGAAAGAUUUUAGCAGGACGUCAUCUCGCACUCUCAUCCGAAAUUCCGUCAUCCGAGACGUACCUUCAGAUCGAGAUCGCUCGCUGCUAAUCCAGUGAGAAUCGCCCUGCCACCCUGUCACUAUGUUGACCCCCCUGACGACGUCAUCGCCCGAUCUCUACCGUCACCAACCCCUUAAUCUCCAUCAUCACCGUUCCUGUUUGAUCCCAGCAUUUCCGGCUGACCAAACACUACACAAACACACUCCAGAUAUUUAAAUCAAUAAAUUUGUGAGAAAAAUUAA